rnacentral:rRNA from 1 species
ACGUACGCUGGCGGCACGCCUAACACAUGCAAGUCGAACGAAGUAGCAAUACUUAGUGGCAGACGGGUGAGUAACAUGUAGGUAUCUGCCCUUUGGCCUGGAAUAACACGAGGAAACUUGUGCUAAUACCGGAUAAGUCUUUACGGAGAAAGCUUUAUGCACCAUUGGAUGAGCCUGCACUUGAUUAGUUUGUUGGUGGGGUAAUGGCCUACCAAGACUGUGAUCAAUAGCUGAUUUGAGAGGAUGAUCAGCCACAUUGGGACUGAGACACGGCCCAAACUCCUACGGGAGGCAGCAGUGGGGAAUCUUGCACAAUGGAGGAAACUCUGAUGCAGCGAUGCCGCGUGAGUGAAGAAGGCCCUUGGGUUGUAAAGCUCUUUCGUCGGGGAAGAAAAUGACUGUACCCGAAUAAGAAGGUCCGGCUAA